AACGAACGCUGGCGGCAUGCCUAACACAUGCAAGUCGAACGAGACCUUCGGGUCUAGUGGCGCACGGGUGCGUAACGCGUGGGAACCUGCCCUUAGGUUCGGAAUAACUCCCCGAAAGGGGUGCUAAUACCGGAUAAUGUCUUCGGACCAAAGAUUUAUCGCCUUUGGAUGGGCCCGCGUUGGAUUCGCUAGUUGGUAGGGUAAAAGCCUACCAAGGCGACGAUCCAUAGCUGGUCUGAGAGGAUGAUCAGCCACACUGGGACUGAGACACGGCCCAGACUCCUACGGGAAGCAGCAGUGGGGAAUAGUGGACGAUGGGCGAAAGCCUGAUCCAGCAAUGCCGCGUGAGUGAUGAAGGCCUUAGGGUUGUAAAGCUCUUUUACCCGGGAUGAUAAUGACAGUACCGGGAGAAUAAGCUCCGGCUAACUCCGUG
rnacentral:rRNA from 1 species